rnacentral:rRNA from 1 species
UGGGGAAUUUUGGACAAUGGGGGCAACCCUGAUCCAGCCAUGCCGCGUGAGUGAAGAAGGCCUUCGGGUUGUAAAGCUCUUUCGGCUGGGAAGAAAUCGUACGGGCUAAUACCCUGUGCGGAUGACGGUACCAGCAUAAGAAGCACCGGCUAACUACGUGCCAGCAGCCGCGGUAAUACGUAGGGUGCGAGCGUUAAUCGGAAUUACUGGGCGUAAAGCGUGCGCAGGCGGUUUGAUAAGAUAGGCGUGAAAUCCCCGGGCUCAACCUGGGAACUGCGCUUAUGACUGUCUCACUAGAGUACGGCAGAGGGGGGUGGAAUUCCACGUGUAGCAGUGAAAUGCGUAGAGAUGUGGAGGAACACCGAUGGCGAAGGCAGCCCCCUGGGCCGAUACUGACGCUCAUGCACGAAAGCGUGGGGAGCAAACA